rnacentral:rRNA from 1 species
AUACGGAGGAUGCAAGCGUUAUCCGGAUUUAUUGGGUUUAAAGGGUGCGUAGGCGGUUUGCUAAGCGGGAGGUGAAAUGCCGGCGCUCAACGUCGGAAGUGCCUCCCGAACUGGUGGACUUGAAUGACUCUGCCGUGGGAGGAAUGCGUAGUGUAGCGGUGAAAUGCUUAGAGAUUACACAGAACACCGAUUGCGAAGGCAUCUCACGAAGUGUUGAUUGACGCUGAGGCACGAAAGCGUGGGGAUCAAACAGGAUUAGAUACCCUGGUAGUCCACGCAGUAAACGAUGAUGGCUAACCGCUGGGCUUAUCAGUUCAGUGGCCAAGCGAAAGCGAUAAGCCAUCCACCUGGGGAGUACGACCGCAAGGUUGAAACUCAAAGGAAUUGACGGGG